AUGCGUAUACAUGUGCUUUUUGCUAGCAGAAACAGUAGUAUACCACGGGUAGCAACGGAAGUACGGAGCCAACAAGUUUCACGAUCCAAAAAAUACGAGAAAUCACAGAUGAUUUCUCUGAGGAACGAGCACUUGGUCAGGGCGCAUAUGGAAAGGUUUACAAGGUCUGCACCACUCUUGCAUGACAUGAUGGAUGGACAACAAACACGUAUGUACGAAUUUCAGGUGAAGGCAGAAGCGUUCGCAAGAAACAAGGCGAUUCAGGGUGCCGAGACGUGUGAUGAGUUCCCCGUCCUGGUGCGUGUCAGUGGAGCGGCUUGGCGUCGUGCGGAGGAGAUGCCGCGUGCUGGGGUGGACGUCGUCCUCGUGCUCGACGUACAGAUUAACGAUGUGACGUGGGGCAUAUUGAUGUUAGUCGAGAGUCUUGGCCCCAAUGACCGGCUCUCCAUCUUGUUUAUGGGGAAAACUAUGCAACAAGUCAUGGAGCUUACGUACAUGUCCCACGAUGGCCGGGACAUUGCCAGGCGGAAGAUCGGAGAGCACGUGGACGACGGAUAUGUGCGCCCCGUUCUGCAUGCGGCAGCUAAGGUACACCCACACAUACAUUUUCGUGACCAUACUCUACUAUAUUAUGUCAGCGAGGUUCCAGGUAAGGGCAUCUCCAACUCCAAUCCGCCACAUACAUUUUCAUGA
rnacentral:rRNA from 1 species